rnacentral:rRNA from 1 species
UACAGAGGGUGCAAGCGUUAAUCGGAAUUACUGGGCGUAAAGCGUGCGUAGACGGUAGCGUAAGUCGGGUGUGAAAUCCCCGGGCUCAACCUGGGAAUUGCGAUGGAGACUGCAAGGCUAGAAUCUGGCAGAGGGGGGUAGAAUUCCACGUGUAGCAGUGAAAUGCGUAGAGAUGUGGAGGAACACCGAUGGCGAAGGCAAUCCCCUGGGCCUGCACUGACGCUCAUGCACGAAAGCGUGGGGAGCAAACAGG